rnacentral:lncRNA from 1 species
AAUACAGGAGUGUUUAUGGUUGGGUUGAGACACAUUCAGUAGCUGAGUGAUUGACAGCAAGAGGAGCAAGACAUGAGGUAGAUUUGUAUUAUAUUCUCAGUGAAACGGGAUAGCUUUAGAAGCUUUUUAAUAAAAAGGAUAUAUGAUCUAAAUUUCCUACUGUUAAUAAUUAUCAAAUAUAUGGCAAUGCUGGACUUUAGCUGAUCAUCGUGCUUCUGGAAAACAACAAAAAUUGAGAUAUCUGUUCACCACUUUGUGUGUCCAAGGACCACCUACUUUUUACAUGUGACAAGAACUACCCACCUCCACUCUUCAGAACAUGCUGAAGAAAAGAGUUGCAAUGAGAAAAUAUAUGGGAACAAAAUACCUAUGCAAUGCAGAAGUCUGCAUAACUGAACCACUCAGAGGAAAAAGUUUCCCUCCCAGGCUGGAGUACAAUGGCGCGACCUCGGCUCACUGCAACUUCCACCUCCCAGUUCAAGCAAUUCUCCCACCUCAGCUUCCUUAGUAGCUGGGAUUACAAGUGCCUGACACCAGGCCAAGCUAUUUUUGUAUUUUUAGUAGAGACGGGGUUUCACCAUUUUGACCAGGCUGGUCUCAAACUCCUGACCUCAGUCCAUCGGUCCACCUCGGCCUCCCAAAGUGCUGGGAUUGCAGGCAUGAGCCACCGCUCCUGGCCUCAAGUUUAAUUCUUAAAUUGCCAUUUCAGGACACCUCCUACAUCUGAGGAAAUAUGCAUUGAUCUUGCAGUACUUUUCUCCUCCAAAUAAAAGUCAGUAUGAUAAC